AUUGAACGCUGGCGGCGUGCCUAACACAUGCAAGUCGAGCGAGUGAAUCUCCUUCGGGAGUGAAGCUAGCGGCGGACGGGUGAGUAACACGUGGGCAACCUGCCUCAUAGAGGGGAAUAGCCUUUCGAAAGGAAGAUUAAUACCGCAUAAGAUUGUAGCUUCGCAUGAAGUAGCAAUUAAAGGAGCAAUCCGCUAUGAGAUGGGCCCGCGGCGCAUUAGCUAGUUGGUGAGGUAACGGCUCACCAAGGCGACGAUGCGUAGCCGACCUGAGAGGGUGAUCGGCCACAUUGGGACUGAGACACGGCCCAGACUCCUACGGGAGGCAGCAGUGGGGAAUAUUGCACAAUGGGGGAAACCCUGAUGCAGCAACGCCGCGUGAGUGAUGACGGCCUUCGGGUUGUAAAGCUCUGUCUUCAGGGACGAUAAUGACGGUACCUGAGGAGGAAGCCACGGCUAACUACGUGCCAGCCGCCGCCGUAAGAC
rnacentral:rRNA from 1 species